AUUGAACGCUGGCGGCAUGCCUUACACAUGCAAGUCGAACGGCAGCACGGGUGCUUGCACCUGGUGGCGAGUGGCGAACGGGUGAGUAAUACAUCGGAACGUACCUUAUCGUGGGGGAUAACGCAGCGAAAGUUGCGCUAAUACCGCAUACGCCCUGAGGGGGAAAGCGGGGGACCGUAAGGCCUUGCGCGAUUAGAGCGGCCGAUGUCGGAUUAGCUUGUUGGUGAGGUAAAAGCUCACCAAGGCGAAGAUCAGUAGCUGGUCUGAGAGGACGAUCGGCCACACUGGGACUGAGAAACGGCCCAGACUCCUACGGGAGGCAGCAGUGGGGAAUUUUGGACAAUGGGGGCAACCCUGAUCCAGCAAUGCCGCGUGAGUGAAGAAGGACUUCGGGUUGUAAAGCUCUUUUGUCAGGGAAGAAACAGCAGCUCUAACACAGUCUGCGAAUGACGGUACCUGAAGAAUAAGCACCGGCUAACUACGUGCCAGCAGCCGCCGCCG
rnacentral:rRNA from 1 species